rnacentral:rRNA from 1 species
GACGAACGCUGGCGGCGUGCUUAACACAUGCAAGUCGUACGGUAAGGCCCUUUCGGGGGUACACGAGUGGCGAACGGGUGCGUAACACGUGAGUAACCUUCCCACAACUUUGGGAUAACGCUAGGAAACUGGUGCUAAUACUGGAUAUGUGCUCCUGCUGCAUGGUGGGGGUUGGAAAGCUCCGGCGGUUGUGGAUGUACUGGCGGCCUAUCAGCUUGUUGGUGGGGUAGUGGCCUACCAAGGCGGCGUCGGGUAGCCGGCCUGCGAGGGUGACCGGCCACAUUGGGACCGAGGUACGGCCCAGACUCCUACGGGAGGCAGCAGGGGGGAAGAUUGCACGAUGGGCGCCAGCCUGAUGCAGCAACGCCGCGUGCGGGAUAACGGCCUUCGGGUUGUAAACCGCUUUCAGCAGGGACGAAGCUUUUUGUGACGGUACCUGCAGAAGAAGCACCGGCUAACUACGUG